rnacentral:rRNA from 1 species
UACGUAGGGGGCAAGCGUUAUCCGGAUUUACUGGGUGUAAAGGGAGCGUAGACGGCAGGGCAAGUCUGGAGUGAAAGGCAGGGGCCCAACCCCUGGACUGCUCUGGAAACUGUCCGGCUGGAGUGCAGGAGAGGUAAGUGGAAUUCCUAGUGUAGCGGUGAAAUGCGUAGAUAUUAGGAGGAACACCAGUAGCGAAGGCGGCUUACUGGACUGUAACUGACGUUGAGGCUCGAAAGCGUGGGGAGCAAACAGG